rnacentral:miRNA from 1 species
UUUGGUGUGGGAGUCCUACCCCUUU